GAGAGGUGGCCGAGUGGUUGAAGGCACCGGUCUUGAAAACCGGCAUGCGGUAAAACGUAUCGAGGGUUCGAAUCCCUCCUUCUCC
rnacentral:tRNA from 2 species